UAUCCUACGGGGGGCAGCAGUGGGGAAUAUUGGUCAAUGGUCGGGAGACUGAACCAGCCAAGCCGCGUGAGGGAGGAAGGUACAGAGUAUCGUAAACCUCUUUUGUCAGGGAACAAAGACUGGGACGCGUCCCCGGAUGAGUGUACCUGAAGAAAAAGCAUCGGCUAACUCCGUGCCAGCAGCCGCGGUAAUACGUAGGGGGCAAGCGUUAUCCGGAUUUACUGGGUGUAAAGGGAGCGUAGACGGCGUGCCAAGUCUGAUGUGAAAGGCCGGGGCUCAACCCCGGGACUGCAUUGGAAACUGGG
rnacentral:rRNA from 1 species